UUCAUCAUGUCAAGGCUCCAUCCUCUAAAUAAUGAUUCUAAUAACACAAACACAAACAAUGAGUGAGUCACAUCAUGAGGGAAUAUACAGCUGUGAAGUCAUUGAUGCUGAGGAGACUCUGAUAACCAACACCUUUCUGAGGAGAGAGAAAAGUCAAGGGAAUUUAACCAAAGUUAGAGACGUUACAUGGGAGGUGUAUGCAGCCUUUUUGCUCAUAGCAGCAGCAGCAGCAGCAGCAGGGCCAGCUGUAGUUGUGCUGUACCAUAAAAAGAAAACAGGUUGACAAGAAAACAACGUGAGAAAGUGAAACAAUGAUGAAACCAAAUGGAAAUGGAGAUUGUUUCAUUUGAAGACUCUGGUCACACCCUGCAGUCCUGAGAUGUGACCUAAAAUUACCUUUCAACUAUCUAUUAUACAGCCACACAACUUGUGAUUUAUUUAUUUAUUUAUUGUAUUGUAAAUAAAGUGUUUAAAUUGAAGUGAAUUAUAUUAAAUAUUCAUAUAUGUUAAAUGAC